UAGGGAGGGUGUGGAACAAGAGUCAUAGUGUUGAAUGUUAAAAAUUCAUGAGUUUUAAUCAAUGAUUGCACCAGUGCAUGUCAUGGUGAAGCCAAUUUUCCUUGAACCACAGUUCUGACUUCAAAUAGCAUUCCAGUCAUGUCACAAACUUCUCUGAUUGUUAAUGUCAUUUGGAGCCAGAAUUAUGGCUCAAGCAAGACUGGCUUCUCCACCAUGACAAUGCACAGGCAUACUCAUCGAUUAAAACUCCUUGAAUUUUUGACAUUCAACACCAUAACUCAUUCUACACUCUCUCUAUUCACUGGAUUUAGUUUCUAUGUGAUUGUUUUAUUCCCAAAAUGAAAUUGAAGCUCAAGAGGUGAAGUUUUGAGGCAGUAGAAGAGAUUGAAGCUGGCUGAACCACAGGUGAUAUUGAUCAGCUUAAGAAAGACGACUUUGGGGGUCUUUUACAAACAUGGUAGGAAUGCUGAAUUCACUGUAUUGAUGUAGGAGAUGUUUUUGAAGGCAAUGGACCCCAAAAAGUAAUUUUUUAGUAAUAAAGAUGUAUUUAAAGCCAGUCUAGUUACACAGUGGUAUCUCGAC
rnacentral:lncRNA from 1 species